AAUUCGCCCUUAGAGUUUGAUCCUGGCUCAGAUUGAACGCUGGCGGCAUGCCUUACACAUGCAAGUCGAACGGUAACGCGGGGCAACCUGGCGACGAGUGGCGAACGGGUGAGUAAUAUAUCGGAACGUGCCCAGUCGUGGGGGAUAACUGCUCGAAAGAGCAGCUAAUACCGCAUACGACCUGAGGGUGAAAGCGGGGGAUCUUCGGACCUCGCGCGAUUGGAGCGGCCGAUAUCAGAUUAGGUAGUUGGUGGGGUAAAGGCCUACCAAGCCGACGAUCUGUAACUGGUCUGAGAGGACGACCAGCCACACUGGGACUGAGACACGGCCCAGACUCCUACGGGAGGCAGCAGUGGGGAAUUUUGGACAAUGGGGGCAACCCUGAUCCAGCCAUGCCGCGUGCGGGAAGAAGGCCUUCGGGUUGUAAACCGCUUUUGUCAGGGAAGAAAUCCUUUGGGCUAAUAACUCGGAGGGAUGACGGUACC
rnacentral:rRNA from 1 species